rnacentral:rRNA from 1 species
UACCAGCACCCCGAGUGGUCGGGACGUUUAUUGGGCCUAAAGCAUCCGUAGCCGGUUCUACGAGUCUUCCAUUAAAUCCAACUGCUUAACAGGUGGGCUGCGGAAGAUACUAUAGAGCUAGGAGGCGGGAGAGGCAAGCGGUACUCGAUGGGUAGGGGUAAAAUCCGUUGAUCCAUUGAAGACCACCAGUGGCGAAGGCGGCUUGCCAGAACGCGCUCGACGGUGAGGGAUGAAAGCUGGGGGAGCAAACCGG